AAGAAGAGAGUGUUGUUGAUAGUGCACUUCAUAAAUCAGCACAAGUAACAUCUGAAACUACAAAAGCAUCUGAAGGAAACCAAGUCAGGGAGGAGGAAAAAGAGCAAAUACAUCAGGGUGGACCUGAAACCAAUGUGACAUAUACUGGUGGAGAUGCGGCAUUAAAUGUGCCUGAAAUGUGUGAUUCGGAUACUGAGAUUGUCGCAGGGAGACAGAAUUGUGGCAGGAGACCAAGUGAGAGAGGAGGAGACCAAGCGAGAGAGGGGGAAAAAGAGC
rnacentral:misc_RNA from 1 species